UACGUAGGUCGCAAGCGUUGUCCGGAUUUACUGGGCGUAAAGGGCGCGUAGGCGGCCACCGCAAGUCGACUGUGAAAUCUCCGGGCUUAACCCGGAAAGGUCAGCCGAUACUGCGGGGCUAGAGUGCAGAAGGGGCAACUGGAAUUCUCGGUGUAGCGGUGAAAUGCGUAGAUAUCGAGAGGAACACCUGCGGCGAAGGCGGGUUGCUGGGCUGACACUGACGCUGAGGCGCGAAAGCUAGGGGAGCGAACGGG
rnacentral:rRNA from 1 species